rnacentral:rRNA from 1 species
GACGAACGCUGGCGGCGUGCUUAACACAUGCAAGUCGAACGGAAAGGCCCUGCUUUUGUGGGGUGCUCGAGUGGCGAACGGGUGAGUAACACGUGAGUAACCUGCCCCUGACUUUGGGAUAACUUCAGGAAACUGGGGCUAAUACCGGAUAGGAGCUCCUGCUGCAUGGGGGGGGUUGGAAAGUUUCGGCGGUUGGGGAUGGACUCGCGGCUUAUAAGCUUUUUGGUGGGGUAGUGGCUUACCAAGGCUUUGACGGGUAGCCGGCCUGAGAGGGUGACCGGACAAAUACGGACUGAAUUAGGGACGAGGGUACUACGGGAGCCAGUAAUGGGGAUAAUUGCACAAUGGGGGGAGGCCUGGUCCCGCGAUGCGGGGUGGGGGAUAUGGGCCAAGGUGUUGUAGAACGCUUUGGCCGGAGAUGAAGGGUGGGUGACGGUAAUGGGUAAGAAAAGUCGGGCUAACUACGUG